GACGAACGCUGGCGGCGUGCUUAACACAUGCAAGUCGAACGAAGUGGCGGACGGGUGAGUAACGCGUAAUCAACCUGCUCUUCAGCGGGGGACAACAGUUGGACACGUCUGAUAAUACCGCAUACUAUGGAUGGGGAUUGCGUCUGAUUAGCUAGUUGGGGGGGUAACGGCCCACCAAGUCGAUGAUGAGUAGCCGGCCUGAGAGGGUGAACGGCCACACUGGGACUGAGACACGGCCCAGACUCCUACGGGAGGCAGCAGUGGGGAAUAUUGCACAAUGGGCGCAAGCCUGAUGCAGCCACGCCGCGUGUAUGAAGAAGGUCUUCGGGUUGUAAAGUACUUUCAUCGGGGAGCGUUACCCGCAGAAGAAGCACCGGCUAACUCCGUGCCAGCAGCCGCGGUAAUAC
rnacentral:rRNA from 1 species